rnacentral:misc_RNA from 1 species
UCCUGUGGUGCUGUACUUGAUAGCUUCCCAUACAACUGACUAUCAACACCCAAUGCUGUUCUUGAACACAUUCGCAGUUUUCAUACUGGUGGUUGCUAAAUUUCCCAACAUGCACAAGGUUCGAAUAUUUGGGAUCAAUGCAGAUCAAUGAAGUACUUCAUUCAAUUUGAAAUUUUAGUUCCAACUUUACUCUCAGCUAUAUAGUAAGUAUUUGAUUGGUUUUAACAAUUUUGAGUAAACAGGGAACUCCUGUACAAAUGCAACAACUUCAAAGGGUGAAAUUAUAUAUAUAGUAAAAAGAUUAAGAGCCG